rnacentral:pre_miRNA from 1 species
CUCGCAGAGGCUCUUGACCUGAGAUUCGGACAGCUGUUUGCACUCAUUCAGCUGCUCGAUCCACUGGUCCAGCUCCUUGGUGAA